AAAUGAACCAUAAUAAAAGAUUCACAAUAUUAUCUCUGACAAUGUUGCAAAUUAAAGAUUCAAAGAAACAAAACAUGGAACAGAAAUACUGGAAUAACUUCAUCUUACAUGUUGAAAAUUAUGAUGGCACCAUAAAGGAAACAAUUGUCCAUGAAAAACAGACUCUUAAGGUCUCCUCAGGACAGGAUACAGUAAAAGUUGUAUCAGCUCAUUCUGGCUUUUUCAUUCCUGUAUUUUAGAAGCAGAUUGUGUUUUUUUACUUCACUACCACAAUAACAAGAUUUUUUUAAGUAACGCCAUGUAUGAUGGUGGCAAAUCGUGACCUUUAACAUUGUGAUUCAUGAUGGACUCGUAUAUUUUCCCAUCCUUAUAAAGCAGGACCCAGAGCCUCAGGGCUCCUCUGGUCACAAGGUCCCCCGGUGUCCUACAAGCCAGAGAGGUUCAGAAAUGUUGAACAAAGUGACCAAAUACAAUUCUUAUUGUUUCUUUGAUACUGUAGAGAGUGGAGACUAACAUCUGGAGCAAUAUGUAGAGAACUAUAAACCAAUGCUUUCAGACCUUUGCACCUUCCUCAGAGGCCAACCGCAGCAAUUUGGACUCUUGGCCUCAGUAUUUUCUAAUAUGCUGUUCAUACUAAAUGAUAAAUAUGCUGUUCAUAGGAGUUAGGGUUUACUUAGGACUGCUUCAAAUCAGAUCCUCUUACUUUGAAGGGCAUAAAGUCAACUCGUUUGUUGGACUGAUGGGGAAACGGAGCCAAGAAGAGCCAGGCUCGUACGAGUGGAGCACAUUACAAACGUACGACAGGCGCCGCUAAGCGCCCCAUCCCCCCAUCCCCCAGCGGCCUGCAUCUCAUCGAGCCAUUCCUCAUCCUAGGGAGUGGAUACCCGACGCUGGUUCAUGUUUUCCCCUCAAACUGGAUAGCUGCUAGUCGAGUAAAAAUUAUUCUGUUUGCACAUUGUAGUGACGUAGGGGUGCUGUGCCCGUCUUCAUUUGGUCGAGGAGCGGGGGAAAUGGCCCCCACAUCGAUGUUUUCUGUGAGCGUUUUCCACAUCUGCCAUGCUACAAAAGACUUAACUGUUGUUGUGAACCAUCAAAGCAAGGCUUUGCUCUCUGAGUAUGCUCAAAGUGUAUAGUGCCUCAUUUCUGUUUAAUUACUGCUUCUGAUUGUCUUCUAAAUACAUUUCGGUUUUAAAGUGGCUUUUAGAAGUUCUCCAGCUAAACACAGGAUACGUGUGUGUGUGUGUUUGUCAUUGUUUAACAAAAAUAAAAUUAUUUUCUUUACUGGUUCAACUCAA